rnacentral:rRNA from 1 species
AUUGAACGCUGGCGGCAGGCCUAACACAUGCAAGUCGAGCGGAGCGGCGGAAGGGUGAGUAAUGCCUAGGAAUCUGCCUGGUAGUGGGGGAUAACGUCAGGAAACGGGCGCUAAUACCGCAUACUAUCAGAUGAGCCUAGGGCGGAUUAGCUAGUUGGUGGGGUAAAGGCCUACCAAGGCGACGAUCCGUAACUGGUCUGAGAGGAUGAUCAGUCAACCUGGAACUGCGACACGUUCCAGACUCCUACGGGAGGCAGCAGGUGGGAAUAUUGGACAAUGGGCGAAAGCCUGAUCCAGCCAUGCCGCGUGUGUGAAGAAGGUCUUCGGAUUAUAAAACACUUUAAGUUGGGAGGCGUUACCUACAGAGUAAGCACCGGCUAACUACGUGCCAGCAGCCGCGGUAAUAC